UACGAAGGGGGCUAGCGUUGCUCGGAAUUACUGGGCGUAAAGCGCACGUAGGCGGCUUUCUAAGUCGGGGGUGAAAUCCUGGAGCUCAACUCCAGAACUGCCUUCGAUACUGGAGGGCUUGAGUCCGGGAGAGGUGAGUGGAACUGCGAGUGUAGAGGUGAAAUUCGUAGAUAUUCGCAAGAACACCAGUGGCGAAGGCGGCUCACUGGCCCGGUACUGACGCUGAGGUGCGAAAGCGUGGGGAGCAAACAGG
rnacentral:rRNA from 1 species